rnacentral:rRNA from 1 species
GUUCCUGUCCAACGUUAAUCGGGGCAGGGUGAGUCGACCCCUAAGGCGAGGCCGAAAGGCGUAGUCGAUGGGAAACAGGUUAAUAUUCCUGUACUUGGUGUUACUGCGAAGGGGGGACGGAGAAGGCUAUGUUAGCCGGGCGACGGUUGUCCCGGUUUAAGCAUGUAGGCUGGUUAUCCAGGCAAAUCCGGAUAAUCAAGGCUGAGGUGUGAUGACGAGGCACUACGGUGCUGAAGUAACAAAUGCCCUGCUUCCAGGAAAAGCCUCUAAGCAUCAGGUAACAUCAAAUCGUACCCCAAACCGACACAGGUGGUCAGGUAGAGAAUACCAAGGCGCUUGAGAGAACUCGGGU